AUGAACUGGACCCCACUCUUCCUCACCCUCCUUGCUCACUGCACAGGCCUUGUGGUCUCUUAUGAACUGACUCAGCCACACUCAGUGUCAGUGGCCCUGGGACAGACGGCCAGAAUCACUUGUGGGGGAAACAACAUUGGAGGUAAAUAUACCUCCUGGUAUCAGCAGAAGCCAGGCCAGGCACCUGUGCUGGUCAUCUACAGGGACAGCAACCGGCCCUCGGGGAUCCCUGACCGAUUCUCUGGUGCCAACUCUGGGAACACGGCCACCCUGACCAUCAGCAGAGCCCAGGCUGAGGACGAAGCUGACUAUUACUGUCAGGUGUGGGACAGCAGUGCUAAAGCUCACAGUGACACAAGCAGACGGGGAAAAAGGAACAACUUCCUGCACAUCCAGAUCUCAGCAUCUUCCACUGGAAAUGGAGGUCAUUCUGAACUACCACCUCCCGCUCCCUACAGUCCCCCAUCGUCACCAAACUGA